UCAUGGCUCAGGAUGAACGCUGGCGGCGUGCUUAACACAUGCAAGUCGAACGAUGAAAGCCGGAGCUUGCUCUGGCUGGAUUAGUGGCGAACGGGUGAGUAACACGUGAGUAACCUGCCCCAGACUCUGGGAUAAGCACUGGAAACGGUGUCUAAUACCGGAUACGAACUUCAGCCGCAUGGCUAGGAGUUGGAAAGAACUUCGGUCUGGGAUGGACUCGCGGCCUAUCAGCUAGUUGGUGAGGUAACGGCCCACCAAGGCGACGACGGGUAGCCGGCCUGAGAGGGUGACCGGCCACACUGGGACUGAGACACGGCCCAGACUCCUACGGGAGGCAGCAGUGGGGAAUAUUGCACAAUGGGCGCAAGCCUGAUGCAGCAACGCCGCGUGAGGGACGACGGCCUUCGGGUUGUAAACCUCUUUUAGUAGGGAAGAAGCGAAAGUGACGGUACCUGCAGAAAAAGCACCGGCUAACUACGUGCCAGCAGCCGCGGUAAUACGUAGGGUGCAAGCGUUAUCCGGAAUUAUUGGGCGUAAAGAGCUCGUAGGCGGUUUGUCGCGUCUGCUGUGAAAACUGGGGGCUCAACCCCCAGCCUGCAGUGGGUACGGGCAGACUAGAGUGCGGUAGGGGAGAUUGGAAUUCCUGGUGUAGCGGUGGAAUGCGCAGAUAUCAGGAGGAACACCGAUGGCGAAGGCAGAUCUCUGGGCCGUAACUGACGCUGAGGAGCGAAAGCAUGGGGAGCGAACAGGAUUAGAUACCCUGGUAGUCCAUGC
rnacentral:rRNA from 1 species